rnacentral:misc_RNA from 1 species
UUAAGUUCAGCGGGUAGUCCUACCUGAUUUGAGAUCAAACGUUCAAAAAGCUGUCCUCACUGAGGAGAGACCUUUAUGAGCCCCAGCACAAACCUCCAUCACUGAAGGUCACCUGAUGGGAGACCACAAGCGUAGAUAGUUAUCACACCUGUGAUGCCACCAAACACUGGCAAGCUGAUUCGUUUAAGAGGAGCUGACCA